rnacentral:rRNA from 1 species
CCUACGGGGUGCAGCAGUGAGGAAUAUUGGUCAAUGGACGAGAGUCUGAACCAGCCAAGUAGCGUGAGGGAUGACUGCCCUAUGGGUUGUAAACUUCUUUUAUAAAGGAAUAAAACGAGGCCCGUUUGCCUUUUUGCAUGUACUUUAUGAAUAAGAAUCGGCUAAAUCCGUGCCAGCAGCCGCGGUAAUACGGAGGAUCCGAGCGUUUUCCGGAUUUUUUGGGUUUAAAGGUAGGGUAGAUGGGUUGUUAAGUCGGGGGGGAAAGUUUGCGGGUCAACCGCAAAACUGCCAUUGAUACUGGCAGUCUUGAGUAUAGGUGAGGUAGGCGGAAUUCGUGGUGUAGCGGUGAAAUGCUUAGAUAUCACGCAGAACCCCGAUUGCGAAGGCAGCUUACUAAUCUGCGACUGACACUGAUGCUCGAAAGUGUGGGUAUCAAACAGGAUUAGAUACCCCGGUAGUC